UACGUAGGGACCAAGCGUUGUUCGGAUUUACUGGGCGUAAAGGGCGCGUAGGCGGCGCGGUAAGUCACUUGUGAAAUCUCUGAGCUUAACUCAGAACGGCCAAGUGAUACUGCAGUGCUAGAGUGUGGAAGGGGCAAUCGGAAUUCUUGGUGUAGCGGUGAAAUGCGUAGAGUAUCAAGAGGAACACCUGAGGUGAAGACGGGUUGCUGGGCCAACACUGACGCUGAUGCGCGAAAGCCGGGGGAGCAAACGG
rnacentral:rRNA from 1 species